CGCCACCACCUGUCCUUCCUCCGCGGUCGCCUCACCACGCUUGCGCGCCGCCUGCCCAAGGCCUCCGACGUUGCGGAGCGGGGCUCAGGGCCACCUGCACGAUCUCCGCGAGUCCCCGCAACGACCCUGCCACGAGACUGUCACCACAGUGACGGGAAGCCCACCGUGGACAAGGCAAACCAUCCCCCUUAGACAUAGGCCCGUUUGCAUGGCGAUUGAGUACGCACUCCGGAGCCAGACCGUCUGGGUUACCGUCCUGGCCUUGCCCGUCGCCGGUGGCAUAAGCCUGUGCAAGUUCCUAACCUCGCUGAGGAGCAUUUCACUCAUCUGUAAAUGGGGGGUAAUGAUGCUGGCCACCGCAUAGGAUUAUACAAGCGACGCUGGUGAAGUGCUGCAGAACCGUGCCCAGGCUGCCGUGAGUGCAUACCGUUCUCUCUAGCAGCUCCGCGAGGUGGCCAUUCCUGCUCAAGAGGGAACUUAAGCCCAAAGAAGUUCAAUGAUUCAUGCAAGAAGAAGUUAACUGGGCAACAGUCACAGCAGGCACCCUAAUUUCAAACUGAAUGAAACCUCUGGUAUUUCUCCUGAUGCCUAAAGUUUUGAGAUGUGACAAUGUUUGUAUUCCAGUAUCCUACGGUUCCAGGAAGUUCAGGUCUGAGCAGGGAUGUCCAAACACUUAAGAUCCAGAUGGUGAAAUUCCAUCCAGAUAUGAGGAGACAGUCACUAAAGGCCUGGAGACAAAUAGCAGCUACUGGCCAAUGGAAAAGGUCUCUACUCCAUGACCUUGAGCACUGGGAAAGCAAGAAGGUUUUGCUGAUGUUGCAGGCUGUCUAUUAUCAUGGUAUUUCUCAAUUUUUUUUUUUUGCCUACAUUUUUUGGUAAGAAAUAUAUAUGUAUGUAAUAUAUAACUAUAUAUAUAAUGGAAACAGAAAUUUCCUAAAUCAAUAUUUUCCCCUCCCCUUUGAAAUAUGCUUAUUUUCUCUCAUUUUCUAUUCUGCUCUAUUCUAUUUCAUUUCUAAAAUGUCGCUCAGAUGGAAAACAUAUCUGUGGUUUCCAGGGGUUAUGAACAGUAUGUCUGGCAGGAGGAGACAGUGACUAUAAAAAGGUAAUUUUGCCUUUCGUGGUGAGGGAGAGUUUUGUAUCUUGAUUAUGGUGGCAGUGAUCAUACACAUAUAUAUGUAUGACAGAAUUGCACACACACAUAAAGGUGUGCUCAUAAUAAUGGGAAAUCUGAGUAAGGCCACUAGUCUGUAGUAGGUAAAUGUACUGGGCCAGUGUCAGUUUCCUGGUUUUGAUAAGGUGCUAUAGUCAGCUAAGAUGUCUAUUGGGUGAAGCUGGGCGAUGGGUACACGGGACCCCUCUGAACUACUUUUGCAACUUCUUGCGCAUGUCUAUUUCAAAACAAAAAUGGUUUGAAUAUUACUCAAGACCCAUUAAAUUACUCAAGGUCACAAUCCGUAGUUUAAAAAUGAAACCCUGGUUCACCAAGAGUGGAUGUUGGAUCAGCAGCAACUGUGCCUACAUAAACUGAAGAGAUACAUCGGCCUGUGCAGACCUGUAUUUGAACUGGCUGGGACUCCACAACCUUAAGUCUCACUAGCCCCCACCUCAACCCCUGCCAGGGGACUGGGAAGCUAGGGGUUGCACAGAGUAGACAGACUUAUUUCAUUUUCUUUGUGUGUCAUCCUCUAAAUGUCCCUACCCUAUCCCUCCCCCAUUUUUUUUUUUAGACACUUGAUCCUGGGGCACCUGGGUGGCUCAGUCAGUUAAGAGUCAGACUUUG